rnacentral:tRNA from 1 species
GAGCUAAUAGUCUAUAUAAGACGUUGAUUUGCAAAAUUAAAGAAGGGAGUCUCUCUCUUAGUUUU